UAAUGCACUGAGGCUGACGGGUGGCGGCGAUAUCCGCCUUGGUGCAUCGCCGCUGCUGCAUCUCGCGCUGUCGGCGCGGCAACUCGAUGCGGACCGUCUGUUGACCAGAGGCGCAGCAAACGCCGAACCGCUGCGGGUGCUUCCCGCNNNNNNNGCUGGUGACGUCGCUGCCGGUGAUGCCGCUUCCGGCGCAGAUCGAAGCCAGUGCCGAUCAGA
rnacentral:misc_RNA from 1 species